GUAUGCAUUAGAUAGGGAAGGAGUUGACAAUUUCUGAGCUUUGUCUAAAUAUCAAACGUGCAGCACAUGCGCAAAAAGUUUUACUUGUUAAUUGACAUGCAAUUGACUUUUGACAGUAAUAAUAUGAUGUCUGUCAACCUUUUAUCAACAAAAAAGUUUAUAAUCAAAUACUAGAAGCAAUGUAUUGAAAACAACGUAACAAAAUAAAUCUGUUAAUAAUUUAGAAAGUAACUUAAUGUUUUUUACUCGGAAAAAAAGUUUGUUUUUCAAUUUUUCUUUUUGUCACUCUGGUUUGAGAAAUUUCAGCAAUGCGUAAUGUGACUUCCUGGUUUAAGCUAAUUUCAGCAGCAGACGGUACAUCAAUGUGGAGCUCUUCUACACUGUCAGGUUGUAGAUCUUCUUCUUCUUGUGACAAGUUAGCAAUAUCCUCAGUACAUUUUUGGGUAAUAUACAUUGCAACCAAAUGCAUGUGUUUACAAAAAUUAUUUUUUAUGGACGCUUCAUAACAUGAACACUUGAAACGAUGAAUGCAAGCUUUACAGAGCUGACAAUAGAGACUUCGACAGCUACAAAUCUCAUCGACUAAUAAUAACUUCAUAAUAAUCAACUUUGGACUGUGAGUGGACAAGAAAUUUGUUUGUAGUUUGUAUUGCAACUGCGUCAAAAUUCAUCUCCAUUGCACGUUUAUGGAAUUUAUUCUCAAGAAGAUCUCGAUGAGUAGCUGUGGGUCGUAAAAUUGAAGUAAUUCUUUUCCAAGACUUAUCUAUAAUAAGCUUGUCUAAUGCAUCCAGGCAAGUUUCUAAUCGUUGAACUGUUUUCCCAGAAAAAUAAUUAUAUUUCAAAUUUUUAUGGAGAGCUUCUAGAUGCAUAUUAGUGUUGAUGCCUGCAUUUUUUCUAUAACAAUGUGCCCAGGUCGCUAUACGCUCUUCAUUUUGCAAAUAAUAUGUAUUUAAAUAUUGUAAAAAUGAAUAUUCAUUGUUAAGUUGUAGGUACUGUAUUAAAUUGUUUUUUAGGCACAAAAAUUCAAUCUCAUCAGUUUCUUUUAGUAAACCAUUGAGGUCUUGUUGAAUCUUGUCUCUUUUUUGAGGGUCCGAAAUUUUGGAUUUACACUGUAUUGCCCAUUUUUUUUAAUGUGCCAGGUGCACAGAAGCCGAUGUGGCACAGUGCCCAUAACAUUACACCAAGCAUUGAAAUAUAUGGGAGUGUCAUCUGUCAUGAGGUAAUCUGGGAUCAAAUGUCCUUCCUAUUUGAAAUUAAAAAGGCAACAGGGUGUCCCAUAUGUUGGUCAUCUAAUACAAGAAUUGUUGUCAACUCAAAAUUGUAUGGGUUGGUCCCAUGUGUUCCAUCCAUACAAAUGAUUCGUGGCCCAUAAGUAAAUGUCAUGGCUAUCUCCAAUUUUUUUAAACAAGAAAACAUUAUUUUCUUUUGUGAUGGGCUAAAAAGCCCUUGAUGUUCUUUUUAAAGACUUAAAGUUGAUAUUGUAAAGAGACCAAACCUAUGAAGUUAAAUUGCGGUCAAUAACACAGACUCUUCGGAAUUCAUAACGUAAACACAAUUAGAGCAGGCGACGAGUUUUUCGCGGAAGACUUAAAAUCUUAAGUGCGUUUUAUGAUUCUUAUGAUUCACUAAAUAUUCGCGCUAGACUGUCCUUGCCCUGUGCACUGGAAAGAACUCAUCGCAAGAGAUGACGUCUUAUUCGCCCUAUAAAAAGGAAGCGCGAAUAUCGCUAGAAGAUCAGUCAAAAAUCUGUCGUCUAGUCGAAUCAGACUAGUUGUGUCAAUUGAAGAAGAAGCUGCCAAAACAUCCUGUGCCACCAUCUGAGGCCAGAAGCUAUCAGCCCAAAGCAGCCUGAUUGUUCUAUUGCAUAGUCAUGAGCUGUAAGUUUUGAUUUAUUUUUCCUUUGACUGUUCACGUUGCUCCGACUUACCAUGCCGUACCAUAUUAUGAUUUUGUUGUGGAUUUUCGAACGAAGCCGUUAUCAAAAUUUCUAAAUUAUUUAAGUAAUGUUUUACUAAACUAAAGCGUCUGGGCCGGGAUGAACUUGAAAAAAUAACCGUGUUGAAAGAUGGAUAGGUUCACGAGUCAAAGUAAUGACGACAAAGAUUUGGUCUCUGGUAACGAUUCACAAACCCCAAGUUAGAUUUAAGAUAUUAGUUUCAUUUAACGUUUGUUUCUUAUCAGAGUGUUAAGUUGACAUGUGAAAACCAGAGGUGUCAUACGAUGCAUAGAUAAGCAAUUACAAUGUUUUUCUAAAUUAAAUAAUAAAUACAUUUUGGUUGUUUUUCCUAAUUUCGUUAAAGUCCAUAGUUUGUGCAAUUUCCGUUUAAAUGUAAUAAUGUCUCUUAAAACAUUAAUGCCUUUGUUGUUAGAAAAUAGUUUCAGUUUUGUAUUAUGACUUUGAUAAGGUCUAAAAUAGGAAUAUCCCCAAUUUUAGACAAUUGUUUCCGCUUAACAUUUAUUUA